GACUAAGGCAAGAAGAGAAACUGUUUUGCCUUUUGGCUUGAUUUGCCCCUGAAUCACACAGACUAUACCAUUAGUAAUGCAACGACAGUGCUGUGGCAGCCGAGUUACCUCAUCAGAAGUCUCCAGAUAUUGAUCUAAAUCACAUUUCCACUCAGAGCUUGCAGUGGUCAUAUUGGAGUUGUACUUUUAGUUAGCUCCUUCAGAAAGUGGGUUGGUACAAGAUAUCACAGCUUUAAUCCACGGAUUUAGGAAUUUUCCUGUUCCUAUGGAAGACUCUAAUCUUCCUGUACAAUAAAACAACUUAAUAAGCUGUACAAAAUUGAAAAGGCAAUUUAAUUGCCAGUGCUUAUGCAUUUCCUUAGAACAGCUAAAAUCCCACCAAAGGUGGGAUACAAGUGGUAGCAGGAGUUGAGCUUUCUCAACUAAAGAACUAAAAUAA